GAGUUUUAUAUAAUUAUUAUUAUAGUUUUUUUGGUAUUUUGUAUGAAGGUAAUAUUAAUUAUAGUUAGUUGGGAGGAUUGUUAAAUUUUUUAAACUUUAAUUAAUAAAUUUACAUAGAUGAAUGAAUUAGGGAGUGAUUAAAUAAUUAGAAAUAAUUUAAUUAAAUAAGAAUUAAUUACCUUAGGGAUAACAGCGUAAUAUUUUUGGUGAGAUCAUAUUAAUAAAAAUGUUUGC
rnacentral:rRNA from 1 species